rnacentral:misc_RNA from 1 species
GUAGGUGAACCUGCGGAAGGAUCAUUAUCGUAGGGGGCUCUGCCCCCGAAAAAGGAUGUAGGCCAGCCAGAAUUGCAGCACGUUACUGGUGGUUGAUUUCAACCUAAUCGUCUUCUGAGGGCGCUUCUCCUGCCAGACCCGGCGGGCGUGGAACCCCAGGUGACUUCCAGAUGCAAAUGAAGCUACAUGAAUGGCUGGUAUACUCUAGCUCUGUAACCCUUGUAUAUGAGUACUACUGUUUCCUCGGCAG